rnacentral:rRNA from 1 species
UACGUAGGGUGCAAGCGUUAAUCGGAAUUACUGGGCGUAAAGGGCGCGUAGGCGGUGUGUCAAGUCAGGCGUGAAAGCCCCGGGCUCAACCUGGGAACCGCGCUUGAGACUGGCACGCUAGAGUUCGGGAGAGGAUGGUGGAAUUCCCAGUGUAGAGGUGAAAUUCGUAGAUAUUGGGAAGAACACCGAUGGCGAAGGCAGCCAUCUGGACCGACACUGACGCUGAGGCGCGAAAGCGUGGGGAGCAAACAGG